rnacentral:rRNA from 1 species
AAGAGACAGCAGCAGCCGCGGUAAUACGGAGGGUGCAAGCGUUAUCCGGAUUUAUUGGGUUUAAAGGGUCCGUAGGCGGACUUAUAAGUCAGUGGUGAAAGCCUGUCGCUUAACGAUAGAACUGCCAUUGAUACUGUAAGUCUUGAGUAUAUUUGAGGUAGCUGGAAUAAGUAGUGUAGCGGUGAAAUGCAUAGAUAUUACUUAGAACACCAAUUGCGAAGGCAGGUUACCAAGAUAUAACUGACGCUGAGGGACGAAAGCGUGGGUAGCGAACAGGAUUAGAUACCCCUGUAGUCCCUGUCUCUUAUAC